ensembl:lncRNA
AAGAAUGUUCAUAGCUGGAAGGACACCAAAUGUAUCCCAAUAGCAGGAUAUAUACAAAUUGUAGUAUAUCCCUAUAAUGAAAUACUAUACAAAAUGAAAAUGAAUUAAUUAUACACAACUAUACCAAAUAAAACAAUAUGGAUAUGUCUCAGAAAUGUAAUAUUGGGAUACACAAGCUAGACAGAAAGGAAUAUAUGAGUCCAUUCAAACAAAGGGUUUUUUAAAAAAAAAAAAACAGCUAAAUAAAAAUGUAGUUUUUAGAAAUGCAUAUGCAGAUGUUAACAUCUCCUUUCUUUUCUUUAUAGUUUUAUGGCAAAAAAAAACCAUAGAAUGGAUACCUUCACGUUAAAGAGUUGGGGUUGUGAUUAAAGAGGGACAAAAGGGGUUGGGGGUCCCGGGGAGCUAGCUAGCUUCUCUUUCUUGACCUCAAUGGUGACUACACAGUGUUCACAGAACUAUUUGUUAACAUAACAAGUAUUUGUUUUAUAAUUUUUUCUACAUACAUACUCUAGUUCACAAUAAAAAAAGAGUAUUAUAUUUUUUGGUAAUAUCUAGGUUCUUGUCCACUGAAAUCUUGAGUUUUCAUUCUGUAAUACCAAAUAGCUAUUAUACAAUUUCUUAUAUAUUAUAAAUUAUGUUUUUCACACUUAAAUGUAUUCCCUCACAUUAUUGAACUUCACUAUCUGGAAAAUAUGAGGCCUCUCACAAUAUUUAUUUGUACUGUAACAAUGAAUUUAUAGAUCCCAGAAAAAUAUACAAUAUGCAGAAUGGCAGUCGUCACUAACUCCCUUCCUCCAAAGCUAGUUAGACGAAAAUCUGACCCGACAUAGAACACACAGCAAUAACAUGACUAUCCAGAGGAGAUAUCAGUUUUUGUCUAUCUACCAACAGAUGAAAAUAUGCAAAUAACAAUGCCACACAAAAUUUCCACAGACAUUAUAUGCACUGCAAAUACACACAAAUAGCAUAGAGCAAUCUAACAAAACUGAAUACUCCACAUAUAUUAUUCUUCUACACAGGUUUCCAAUCUUCUACCAAAAUAUAUUAUUAUACAGAGGAUAUGGGAAAGCCUGUGGUUUGAAAUUAAUGGUUUUAAAUAUGGGGUUUUUUAAUCCAUUUUUAAAAUAUCAGUCUUAUGCACUCUAUAAAAGGAAAUUACAUUCAUAUGCUAUAGUAUGGUCUCAACCCUAUACAUUAAAAAAUAAGAAUUAAAAAUAGUAUUAAUGGACAUGUUACAAAAUCACUGAAGUAACACACUUUUAAAACAGUUUUCAUGAAGCUAUAUUAGUCUGACAUUCCUCUGUGCCUAGAAUCUGUCUUCUCAAUUCUAUUUUGAGACUUUGGGUCAUUUCUCUGAUAGCAAUGCCAAUAAAGCCGCCAGUUGCCAUUAAUCUCGGUCCUGUGAAAGAAUAAAUCAUUCCCACAAGCAAUUAAACAAUAAAUCCAUUAAAAUAAGACCAAUUAGAGCUAAGUCUAGACAUUCACCACGUAGUUAUGAGACAGGCUUGUCAUAAUCAUUUCAACUUAAACUGGAAAUUUCUUUAAUAAUUCUUUCCAACAGAAGCAGGACUGAAGAUUUUGUUGUGGGA